rnacentral:rRNA from 1 species
AGAGUUUGAUUCUGGCUCAGGACGAACGCUGGCGGCGCGCCUAACACAUGCAAGUCGAACGAGCGAGAGAGAGCUUGCUUUCUCGAGCGAGUGGCGAACGGGUGAGUAACGCGUGAGGAACCUGCCUCAAAGAGGGGGACAACAGUUGGAAACGACUGCUAGUACCGCAUAAGCCCACGGGUCGGCAUCGACCAGAGGGAAAAGGAGCAAUCCGCUUUGAGAUGGCCUCGCGUCCGAUUAGCUAGUUGGUGAGGUAAUGGCCCACCAAGGCGACGAUCGGUAGCCGGACUGAGAGGUUGAACGGCCACAUUGGGACUGAGACACGGCCCAGACUCCUACGGGAGGCAGCAGUGGGGAAUAUUGCACAAUGGGGGAAACCCUGAUGCAGCGACGCCGCGUGGAGGAAGAAGGUCUUCGGAUUGUAAACUCCUGUUGUUGGGGAAGAUAAUGACGGUACCCAACAAGGAAGUGACGGCUAACUACGUGCCAGCAGCCGCGGUAAAACGUAGGUCACAAGCGUUGUCCGGAAUUACUGGGUGUAAAGGGAGCGCAGGCGGGAAGACAAGUUGGAAGUGAAAUCUAUGGGCUCAACCCAUAAACUGCUUUCAAAACUGUUUUUCUUGAGUAGUGCAGAGGUAGGCGGAAUUCCCGGUGUAGCGGUGGAAUGCGUAGAUAUCGGGAGGAACACCAGUGGCGAAGGCGGCCUACUGGGCACCAACUGACGCUGAGGCUCGAAAGUGUGGGUAGCAAACAGGAUUAGAUACCCUGGUAGUCCACACCGUAAACG